UACGUAGGGGGCAAGCGUUAUCCGGAUUUACUGGGUGUAAAGGGAGCGUAGGUGGCAUGGUAAGCCAGAAGUGAAAACCCGGGGCCCAACCCCGCGGAUUGCUUUUGGAACUAUCAGGCUGGAGUGCUGGAGGGGUAAGCGGAAUUCCUAGUGUAGCGGUGAAAUGCGUAGAUAUUAGGAGGAGCACCGGUGGCGAAGGCGGCUUACUGGACAGAAACUGACACUGAGGCUCGAAAGCGUGGGGAGCAAACAGG
rnacentral:rRNA from 1 species